rnacentral:lncRNA from 1 species
UUGAAAUUUGCUGAGACAUUGAAUCUGCUGGCACCUUGGUCUUGGACUUCCCAGCCUCCAGAAAAGUGCAGGUGUGGAUAAAAUGUUACUGAGGUGUGCUGCAAUAUGAAAAAAAUUUUCCAUAGACCAGCAAUGGUCAGAUGAGCCAGUGAAGUGAAACCAAUAUGGUGGUCAUGGUUUUGACAAAGCAUUUGUUUGAAUCAUGGACCAAAACAGAAGGAGCUCAUCAACUGGCACCAGGCCCAGAGAAGCCUCAGUAGCAGUUACUGGUUCCAAAAGAAACGGAGUGAAGUGGGGUCGGAUGACCCCAACAGAAAAGGUGGUGGCUACCUUGGCAGAAACCCCUGUAAUGGCCAUCUUGUCCCUGCCAUGUCCUUCUUCUAUAAAGAGGAGAAGUGUCAUUUCAGAUGUCAGCUCCUGUACAGUAUUGGACAGAAACACUGGAUAAAGAUACAAACACUGGAAUAACACUGGUGUGUCAUUGAAUUAAAACAAAACAAAACAAGACCUGGAGCCAACCACCUCUGAAAUGCUUGCUACGCAAUAUGAUAAGCUCCUACAAUCUCAGCCACUUUUACAUCCUAUUCUAUGUAUGGGCAGGAGGGAGCUCUGGACGCUGAGCAGACCCUUGAGCUGUUAUGCCCCCACUCCCUGGAAAUCCCAUCACUUCCCUCCCCAUAACUUUCUCUUGGCUGAACUGUGCCAGUCAGACUUCCCAGAAAUUCAGCUUUGCCAAUGAGCAGGUUGGGAUUCACAUGUUGACACAAUGAAUAAAAAAUGAAGCAGAUUAGGUUGAGUUAAAAUAAAAAGUCAUACAGAUAUCAUUAACCUAAAAGUUUAGAAAAUUCUGGAGGGGUAAAUGACCUUU